GACAGAGGUGCCGAGCGUUAGGCGGAAUCACUGGGCUUAAAGCGUGUGUAGGCGGGCGAUCAAGUACCUUGUGAAAUCCCACGGCUCAACCGUGGAACCGCUGGGUAUACUGGUUGUCUUGAGCCGGCUAGGGGCGAGCGGAACAGACGGUGGAGCGGUGAAAUGCGUAGAUAUCGUCUGGAACGCCGAAGGUGAAAACAGCUAGCUAGGGCCGCGCUGACGCUGAGACACGAAAGCCAGGGGAGCGAACGGG
rnacentral:rRNA from 1 species